CACUACACUAUCGAUGUAUAGAUUCACCCGCGAGAUGAUGUGGCUGUUUCACCUAGAACGAGGACAUGGCAUCCUAUUAUCAGCCAUCGCACGAAAUUAAUAUGAUGCCACGUCCUCGGACUAGAUGAAACAACCACAUCAUAUCACGGGUGAAUCUAUUCAUCGAUAGUGUGGUU
rfam:Oryza barthii chromosome 10, whole genome shotgun sequence.